UUCAUUCUCCCAUUUUUUUAAUGGAAUAACUAUAAACUAAAACAUGUACGGUUGUAAUGCACACUAGAUUUUGUUCGACUAAAAAUCAUACUAAAUAAAAACCCUAAUACACGCAAGAAUGAGUUGUACCGACUUGUACGUUCCCGGUCACCUAUAAACCUCAUUCUCUCAAGUCUCUCUGCAUAUGCCACUUGUACACUCCGUUUGACUUUUCAAAUUUCGUCAAACGAUUUUGCUCUUCUUUUCUUUGUUGCAUUU